UACGGAGGGUGCGAGCGUUGCUCGGAAUCAUUGGGCGUAAAGCGUACGCAGGCGGCUAUUCAAGUCGGGUGUGAAAGCCCCGGGCUCAACCUGGGAACUGCAUUUGAGACUGCUCUGCUCGGGUGCGGAAGAGGGAAGCGGAAUUUCCGGUGUAGCGGUGAAAUGCGUAGAUAUCGGAAGGAACACCAGUGGCGAAAGCGGCUUCCUGGUCCGACACCGACGUUCAGGCACGAAAGCGUGGGGAGCAAACAGGG
rnacentral:rRNA from 1 species